UACGUAGGGACCAAGCGUUGUCCGGAAUCAUUGGGCGUAAAGCGCGCGUAGGUGGCCAUUUAAGUCCGCUGUGAAAGUCAAAGGCUCAACCUUUGAAAGCCGGUGGAUACUGGAUGGCUAGAGUACGGAAGAGGCGAGUGGAAUUCCUGGUGUAGCGGUGGAAUGCGCAGAGUAUCAGGAGGAACACCGGUGGCGAAGGCGGGUCUCGUGGGCCGAUGACUGACGCUGAGGAGCGAAAGCGUGGGAGCGAACAGG
rnacentral:rRNA from 1 species